AUUGAACGCUGGCGGCGUGCCUUACACAUGCAAGUCGAACGGCAGCACGGGAGCAAUCCUGGUGGCGAGUGGCGAACGGGUGAGUAAUAUAUCGGAACGUGCCCGGUCGUGGGGGAUAACGUAGCGAAAGCUACGCUAAUACCGCAUACGAUCUACGGAUGAAAGCGGGGGAUCGCAAGACCUCGCGCGAUUGGAGCGGCCGAUAUCAGAUUAGGUAGUUGGUGAGGUAAAGGCUCACCAAGCCGACGAUCUGUAGCUGGUCUGAGAGGACGACCAGCCACACUGGGACUGAGACACGGCCCAGACUCCUACGGGAGGCAGCAGUGGGGAAUUUUGGACAAUGGGCGCAAGCCUGAUCCAGCAAUGCCGCGUGCAGGAUGAAGG
rnacentral:rRNA from 1 species